GCCGUUGGCGCCUGCGUGUUGUGACGGGGCUGCCAGGAGCGCGGCCGGACGCUGAGGCCUGAUCGUGGAGUGGCCGAGGCGUGCAGCUAUUAAUAUGAGGUUCGCCUGUUUCUUACUUGGGAGCUGUCGUCGUGAUUCGCAGCCUGAUUUCAUUUCGUGUGUCGGCCGCGUUGCGUUCGCUGGAAGGGUGGCCGAGUGAAGAUGGCGGACACGGGCCUGGCUCUGGCCCAGGAAGGCUGGUAUCUUUCUCCAGAAGGAAUUGAAGCUUGCACUGCUUCUUCCAUUAAAGUUGAUAUAAAGGAUAUCAUCCGUAAUGCCCUGAAUAGUGACUUAAGAGCCAUUGGCAAGAAAUUUCUUCCAAAUGAAAUCAAUAGUGGACGCGUGGACCAGCUUGAAGGUCCAUGUGUCUUACAACUACAAAAGAUCAGGAAUAUAUCUGCUCCAAAAGAUCACGAGGAGUCUCAAGCUGCACCAAGGAUGUUGCGUGUGCAAUUGACAGAUGGGAAUGUGAAUUGCAUAGGAAUAGAGUUUAGUCAUCUGUCUAAAAUCAGCCUCAACACCCCGCCUGGCACAAAAGUAAGAUUAUUUGGAACUGUUAAAAUAAGGAAUGGAUUUCUGUUGUUGAACGAUACCAACAUUUUUGUCCUUGGUGGUGAAGUGGAUCAACUAAUUGAGAAGUGGGAGUUGCAAAGGAGUUUGGCAAAAUAUAAUAGAAAUAAUAUUGGAGCUGAAGGUGGACCACCUCCUUUUGUCCCUUUUGGGCAGAAAUGUUUAACUCGUGACCAAGUUGAUAGUCGAGACCUUGAUAAGAGGAAAACCCUGCAGGUUGCUAGCACAAAUAAAACUGGGGGCGAUGAUGAAUUUGAAAAGCAAAGGACUGCUGCUAUUGCAGAAAUUAGCAAGAACAAGGAGGCAAAGAUCUUUGGUGGAGGAAGCAAUGUCCGGAGCAAUUUGAAUUCAAGUGGUACAGGCAAUAGGAGCAGGGAUGCAUUCCAGAAGAACAGAGAAGAGAAGUGUGUAAGGGCAGAUGGGAAACCUGAAGGAGUGUAUCGAGAAUUGGUUGAUGAGCGAGCUUUACAGCACAUAACUGAAAUGGGUUUCAGCAAGGAGGAAGCACGACAGGCCCUAAUGGAUCACAGCAAUAAUUUGGAAAAUGCAUUAAAUUUUCUUAUCAACAGUGUCAAAACACCACCAGCUAUGCAUAAUGUACCUGCAAGAGGAAAGGGAAGAGGCCGAGGCAGAUCAAGACCUGAAGAAGAUGAUGGUGUAGCAAAUGCGAGACCAUCUGCACCCAGCACAUUAUUUGACUUCUUAGAAUCAAAGAUGAGCUCCUUGAGUGUUGAAGAGUCAAAAAUGCAACUUCCACAUCACUCGAGUUCGGAUAAAGGUAUUGCUAUGAAGGGCUUUCAGCAGAAGAAUGCCCCUUGGAAUAAUGAUCGACCACAAAAACAUGACAGACCACCUCGCUUCCAAAGGGAGAAUCUAAUUGCCAGACAAGCUUUGGACAACUAUGGUCCACAGCGGGGCAGGGGCCCUCAAAGGCAGAACUUCACUGGAUCCAGCCAGUGGAUGGAUGAUGGGAGAAGAGGUGGCAAGCAUUACGCUGGGAAUGAAAGGCUCAGAGACCAUGAGCAACAAAUAACUCAUUUGGGUAAUGAGUCAACUAGAAAAAUGAAAGGAGAGAGCCAAACAAAUAAAUUGGGAGAUGGUCCAGGUUCAAUGGAAUUUAAAGGCAGCCAGAGUAAAAAAGAUCAGCUGGAUAACGGCAGUCAACAGAGAGCAAGAUUUGAAAACCAGAGACAUAAUUAUAGUACUUUUAAUGAACGGAAAGGUAUGGAACUAUCGCCAGUAAUAGGUAGUGGAAUCUCUGGAAAUGUGAAAAACGCAAGGGACUUCAGUCUACAUAUUGACAACACCUGUGCACGAAUUGUUGAUGCAUGUAACAUUACUAAUGGACAAGUAGAAGACCCGUUUUUGAGAAAGAGAACAGGACCUAUAAAAUCAACAGAACCUAGCCAGUCAAAGCUUACUGAAUAUUCUCAGAGCAAUAAUGGAAAUUAUGAUUCAGGGUCAAAGAAAAGAACCGGACCAAUUAAACCAGAAAGAACAUGGGCAAAAUCUUAUGAGACUGAUUACCAUUCUUCAGCAGUGUCAAAUAAAUCACAGUUUAGUGAUUGGAGACCAGGGGAUCAGUGCUUAGCUCUUUAUUGGGAAGAUAACAAGUUUUAUCGGGCAGUCAUCAAGGCACUUCACCCUUCAGGAGUGACGGCAGUUGUUGUAUUCAGAGGCUACGGCAACUAUGAGGAAGUACUUCUAAGUAAUAUUAAACCACUCCAGGAGGAAUUCUGGGUUUGUGUGACGGCAAGAGCUUUUCCAAAUCACUUUGACACUUGUUUGGAAGGCAGAGGAGGAAGAAUCGUUUGAGGGUACGUUAGAAUUUUGUCGAGGUGGGGAUGGACAGCCAAGGCGCUCAACAAGACCUACCCAACGGUAUUAUCAACCGCCUGGAGCAAGAAAGUGAUGCAGUUUGUAGCAAGAACAUUUCACCAAAUACUUCGAGAAGCUACAAGUAUAUGGCUGCAUCGACUGACUGCUUCAGGGUCCUUCCUGAGGGGUAACCUGUGGAAUGUUGCACAGACAGUACAAAUCUCCUUGAAUGUGGAUCUUUCAGUCUGGAAGAAACUCUGCCAAGUCAUGGGUACUUACAGAAGCAGAGCUUGUUCCCAGCUGUAUGUUUUACAAAUUUUGAAGAUGUGGCAAUGUGCAAAGAAAAAUACUGGACCCUCAAUGAUGGAUUUUAGUUUCACAGUGUACAGCAUAAAGAACUUGUAGAUGGAAUAAUAACUUUUUAAAUCCUGUUAAUAAAAAUUACAGUGCACUGUG